CAAAAUACCGGCCUCACGGCCUACGCUGGCAUGGGCCGGUGGGGACCUCCCCGCCGGCCCUUGACGGUUAACCCACUGUGAAAACCUCUGUUGCUUCGGCAGCGCCUCCCCGUCCGCGGGGAGGGUCAGCCUGCCGGUGGCACCCUCGCAAAACCCUUUGUGAAUUUGUUAAACAAACGUCUGAGAGCGAAGUCGAAUGACAUAUA
rnacentral:misc_RNA from 1 species